UUUCUUUCCUUAAAUGCACUCCUCAUAUUCUCUUUCCUUUUGACAGGAUUAAAAGAGCCAAGGAGAAUGUCUUGGAAAGGCGUGUGCGUAUUCUUAUUUUUCAAGCAGCUGUUUCCCUGGCUGCUCACUUAAAUAGCUAAUAAGGAAAAAAAUCUUACGGAACAUUUUUUUUUCAAUAUUUGCUCCUCAACGUGUUUUAUUACCCAUAGUCACAUCCACAUAAAAAUUGGGCCCAGAUAUUUUUUACAAAUAAUGCACCAUCUCAGAAUUUUUCUGGAGAAACUCAUUGAAGUCACUUUUAUUUUUAAUAAAAAUAUGACAAUAUAAAAACAAACAUAAGAAGUAAUUUGAAACAAUGUUGAUUACGCAGAAGUCUUUGAGCAAUACUCAGGAGAAGGUCA
rnacentral:lncRNA from 1 species